CAAAAAAAGAUGGGUGUGGGAAGAACAAGGAACAAACGAAGAAAAAAAAAGGGUAUUUUUAAAAUAAAAAUUAUAGGUUGUAAAACGUAUAUCUAUUUGUUCUCUCAUGCCGGCUUUUGUUUUUUCAGUUUCCUUUUAAGUGUAAAUUU
rnacentral:ribozyme from 11 species